rnacentral:rRNA from 1 species
GACGGGGGAUGCAAGUGUUAUCCGGAAUCACUGGGCGUAAAGCGUCUGUAGGUGGUUUAAUAAGUCAACUGUUAAAUCUUGAGGCUCAACCUCAAAAUCGCAGUCGAAACUAUUAGACUAGAGUAUAGUAGGGGUAAAGGGAAUUUCCAGUGGAGCGGUGAAAUGCGUAGAUAUUGGAAAGAACACCGAUGGCGAAGGCACUUUACUGGGCUAUUACUAACACUCAGAGACGAAAGCUAGGGUAGCAAAUGGG